AAGAGACAGCAGCAGCCGCGGGAAUACAGAGGGUGCAAGCGUUAAUCGGAAUUACUGGGCGUAAAGCGCGCGUAGGUGGUUUGUUAAGUUGGAUGUGAAAUCCCCGGGCUCAACCUGGGAACUGCAUCCAAAACUGGCAGGCUAGAGUAGGGCAGAGGGUGGUGGAAUUUCCUGUGUAGCGGUGAAAUGCGUAGAUAUAGGAAGGAACACCAGUGGCGAAGGCGACCACCUGGGCUCAUACUGACACUGAGGUGCGAAAGCGUGGGGAGCAAACAGGAUUAGAUACCCCUGUAGUCCCUGUCUCUUAUAC
rnacentral:rRNA from 1 species